rnacentral:lncRNA from 1 species
UUUCAAAUAAUUCAAUUCGAAUUUUGUGCUGAAUAAAUGAAUUUGUUUUGAAUAAAUAUCUAAGAAAGAGGGGUGUAUUUUUGACGGACGGAUUGUAAAAGAAAUAGACUAAAUUACAGAAAAUUUUUCUAUUAAUAUCUAUUUUUUUUACUUUUCUUUUUUGUCAGUCAAAAUUUACAUUUUGCCUUCUUAAAAAAUAAAAAAUAUUCACAGAGAGGUAUAUUAUGACAAAAUAAUCAAACUGCUCCUCGUCCUCUUCAUCUCCUCUGCAGCCGUAGCCUCUCCUCCUCUAUUUUUCGCGCCAACCUCAACUCUAGCUCCGACUCCGUUUUUUCCACAUGCUCCCCUGAUCCUCCAACACCCUCGCCGCUCUUUCAUUUCGACGACUGUAGGGAGAUAGAUUGGGAUGCGCGUGGACGAAAAGAGGGGCGAGUGUGAAGGUGAGGCGGCAGCAGAGGGGCGAGGGCAUGUGUUGUCAUGAACAGAAAGGUGGGCGAGAACGAGGCGGCGAAGGGCGAGGCAACGACCGAGGAUAUGUUUGUGGGUAUAGAUGAGAAUUUCAAAGAUAUUUUGAGUAUAAAAAAUAAGAUAUAAACGAAACUCUAACGAAACACUAACGACGAGAGCCGAAGUAGAUAUUUUUAUUUUUUAAGAAAGUAAAAUAUAAAUUUUUAAUUGACAAUAAAAAAGCAGUGCAUGUAGUAAAAGUCCCGCCGUAAGUGGAUAUUUUUUUAUUUUUUAAGAAAGUAAAAUAUAAAUUUUUAAUUGACAAUAAAAAAGCAGUGCAUGUAGUAGUAAUAGUGGGUUUUUUUUUUUCUUUUCAUCAGAGACUUUGACUGUCUCACUUUUGUAACUUAGUUUAUUAAUCUAAUGAAUAAAGUAAGUAGCUUGAU